CAGUCGCCGCGGUAAUACGUAGGUGGCAAGCGUUGUCCGGAGUUAUUGGGCGUAAAGGGCUCGCAGGUGGUUUCUUAAGUCUGAUGUGAAAGCCCCCGGCUCAACCGGGGAGGGUCAUUGGAAACUGGGAAACUUGAGUGCAGAAGAGGAGAGUGGAAUUCCACGUGUAGCGGUGAAAUGCGUAGAGAUGUGGAGGAACACCAGUGGCGAAGGCGACUCUCUGGUCUGUAACUGACGCUGAGGAGCGAAAGCGUGGGGAGCGAACAGGAUUAGAUACCCCAGUAGUCCCUGUCUCUUAUAC
rnacentral:rRNA from 1 species